rnacentral:snoRNA from 1 species
AAAUGCUACUUUUGCAUGUCAGAAUCUGAUACCAAUUGAAUGAUGGUAGUUUUGUCAAUAAACAUGAAGAUGAUCUUCUGUGACGAAGAAAGUAAAAUAUUUUUUGAAUUACAAAUUGUAGCAUUG